GGAUUGCGAUGGCUCCGGCGUCCUCAUUUGUGCUGGAGAUCACAGUGCUUGCUGUCAACCUUUUCCUGAUAAUAACGCCUUCCUGAAUUGUAUUGUGCUGUAUUUAUUAUGCUUGUCUGGAAGAGGUCUCCUCACUGGACACCCUUCAGAGUAUUUUAGGAUCCUUCAGCAUUUUCCCUUCUCUUCUCCACCCUUCCCCCAUGCUGCCAUCCACCUUCCCUUUCCUGCUGCAUGGGAAGCAGACCCCUCCUGCCGCAGCCUCGCAGCAAAGAGCAGAGGCCGCAUUUAACAGCUCAGCAGCUUUUAGCUCCGUGGCUCUCCCCCAGGUUCCCAGGCAUGGGGUCAUAUCAAACCUCUAAUUGGUGUCCUUGGCCCUGCAAGAGCAUCCCCUGCUCGAGUCCUUCCUGCUGUCCUGCAGUACUCCAGGUCCUGCAGUGCCCCUUGGCUUUGCAGAAGGAGAAAGGACAGAUCUUUGGUGUGAGGUUUUAAUAGCUGUUGGGGCAAUAGAUGUUUUAGAGACUGUGAUUUUGUAUCUGGCAUCCUCUUCUGUGGUCUCAAACCAAGAAAUGGCAAAGCAUGGAGCUGGAAGGAUGAAGCGAAGACUUGUCACAGCGAAUCUGGAAAUGCGGAGGACACAAAGACUGUCCUCAUCUGGAAGACCUCCAGUGCAGGAAGAGCACCUACUGGGGGACAACCACAUACCAGGGACACCUCAGCACGACUCCUGUGACAACACCAGGAGGCAGCAGGGACCAGCAGCACUGAUCCACAGGUGAUGCUGCUAAGAGUACUUCAUACACAGGUAGAAUGUGAGUUUAUGUGGGUUUUGACACUAGCAAAAUAUUCCAGCCUGGAUAGGCAUCAGCUCAUGUAUCUGUAGGUAGUUGAGGGAAGAGCGACCACUUUUAGGACAAUGCUCAUUCACACAAUGAUUGCCCUUGGGGAAGAUGUUGCAGCCAUGUGACAGACACGACACUGUGAUGAUGCUGUGCCCAACACAGCGGGGUUUGGGGGCAGAGAUAAGGAGCCCAGCCUGCUGCCAGAUGUGCCGAGCUGGAGGGAGCACAGCACUGCAGAAUCACAGAGCACAGAAAUGAGCUGAGCUUAGCAUGCCAGCAUCCUCUCACACACACACGAGAGCUGUGUGGAAUCGCAGUCCUGACAAAGCCUGACUUCUCCGAUUCAGAGGAAAUGAAAAGGACUUUGUGACUGCUGUGACCGCUGAUAGAGGGUUGGUGUGCCCAGGGGACAGCCAGCCAAGGGAGAGGGAGGAGCGCUGGAAGAUUUGGCUUCAGUGAACAGUUCCUUAAAUUCAAUGAGUCAUGAUUUUCUUUCGGCGCACGCGGCCCUCUGUGUAUAAACUCCAGCCCAGAGAGAAAAAUAUCCCCUGGUCAUUGGUGAGAGCGGGCAAUGGUUUCCUAAGGAUUAAUUCCUCCUAACAGAUAUGGUCUGCAUUCCUUUGGAAGAUGCCCUCCCACAGGCCCUCUCUCACAGAGCCACACUAAAAAUAGAGCUGAGUGCUUCCUGAUGGCACCGCUGUGUUUCUCUGGAAAGGCAGGUGUUGUUUCUCUGGAAAGUUUUAUUUCUCCAUUUAAAAAAUGUCAUUUUGGAAAUGGGAGUACGUCCCUGGAUUUGUAUCACCUGGCUUUUUCUGAACGACUCCUCUUGUCUCUUCUCCAAGAAAAAGACACAGUGGCUGAGGAUGGAGAAGCGCUCCCAGUCCCUGUGGGAGAGCUGGAGGGUGCCUGGUCUGGAUGCUUCUGAUGCCAAUGGGGAACUGAAACUACAGCCCUGGAGAGGAAACAAGAUCAUCGCUGCUGCUCCCUUCGCACUCCUGACUUUGUUUGCUUUGUGUGACUGGUUUCUGGCUGAAUAAAACAAAAUCUCCUGGCCCUCUGAGAUGAGGAAAAUCAUCCGGUGACAAAAGGAAGUUCUGAGGGGUUUGAGAUGUGUCCCUCUCCUGGGAAAGAGAAAGGAUGCCCC
rnacentral:lncRNA from 1 species